rnacentral:rRNA from 1 species
UACGUAGGGUGCAAGCGUUGUCCGGAAUUAUUGGGCGUAAAGCGCGCGUAGGCGGCCACUUAAGUCGGAUGUGAAAGCCCCUGGCUCAACUGGGGAAGUGCACCCGAAACUGAGCGGCUUGAAUGCAAAAGAGGGUCGCGGAAUUCCCGGUGUAGAGGUGAAAUUCGUAGAUAUCGGGAGGAACACCGGUGGCGAAGGCGGCGACCUGGGUUGACAUUGACGCUGAGGCGCGAAAGCGUGGGGAGCAAACCGG